rnacentral:misc_RNA from 1 species
CGGUACACACCUUCAAUCGCAGACGCACUAUGUGUGGCACUCUAGACUAUUUGCCACCUGAGAUGGUGGAAAGUGUGGAGCAUGAUGCAAAUGUGGACAUUUGGAGCCUUGGUAUUCUCUGCUAUGAAUUCUUAUACGGGGUGCCUCCAUUUGAAGCAAAGGAACACUCAGACACAUAUAGAAGGAUUAUACAAGUGGAUCUAAAAUUUCCUUCCAGACCAG